rnacentral:lncRNA from 1 species
AUUGAAGCCAAGGUUGCAGCUUAGUCAUAGUAAUGGGAGACUUAAACACUUUAAGACCCACAAAAUCAAAACUGCUGAUUUACAGAACAUCCACCUGCUUGGUAAAUUCUCACUCUGUCACCCAGGCUGGAGUUCAAAGGGGCAACUGAUCUCGGCUCACUGCACCCUCUGCCUCAGCCUCCCUGGUAGCUGGGAUUACAGGAAAGAUGGAGCUGACCUGCAGAGAGAAGUAACAACAAUCAACUGAGAAAGACCAGGAGGAAUUAUCUGCCUGAAGAAAUUUGAGUUCCCACAUGUGCCCAGCUGUAUUAUUAGAUUCAUGGGAUUUUUUCAGACCCU